UACGUAGGGUGCAAGCGUUAAUCGGAAUUACUGGGCGUAAAGCGUGCGCAGGCGGUUAUGUAAGACAGAUGUGAAAUCCCCGGGCUCAACCUGGGAACUGCAUUUGUGACUGCAUAGCUAGAGUACGGUAGAGGGGGAUGGAAUUCCGCGUGUAGCAGUGAAAUGCGUAGAUACCAGGAGGAACACCGGUGGCGAAGGCGGUUUCCUGGCCGAGUACUGACGCUGAGGCACGAAAGCGUGGGGAGCAAACAGG
rnacentral:rRNA from 1 species